GUUGACCUCGGAUCAGGUAGGAAUACCCGCUGAACUUAAGCAUAUCAUAAA
rnacentral:rRNA from 1 species